UUAAUUAAGAGAUUAAAGAUGUAACGGUAUGUGUUAAUUGAUUCUAUUACAGACAAUAUUUUAGGCAAUUAAAGUCGUGGUGUGGGUGUCAGCGAAAUUUGUUUAUGUCAGUGUCAGUUCAUGAAAUUAGAUACAGUUACUAGCGUUGUUAAUAAGUAAAAUAUUAUUUAAUUGCAAUUUUAUCCUGUUUUGUUAUAUAAAAUACUUUAUUGAAAUUAUUGUGUUGUGGAAAUGUAAUCAAUAUUUAGUGGGUUUUUUUAUUUAAAAAUUGCUUACAGUGUGUCUCUUUUAGGAAUCUCGAAUGAGGCCUAUCGUCAGGCCAAACGAGGAGAUGAUGUGUUGCAUUUCAUAUGCAGACAGUGUGAGGAAAGAAACUGGCCAGAAAUCACCGAUGCGGAUGAAGGAGAUAUCACCAGCACUGACCAACAAUGGAUGGACAACUCGACAUCUACAGAUGUAUCAUCUAUCGUUGCUGAUACAGAUGUAUCAUCUAUUGCUGCUGCUACAGAUGUAUCAUCUAUUGCUGCUGCUGCAGAUGUAUCAUCUAUCGCUGCUGAUCUCGAACCGUUGGAUGGGACAUUCAAUAUCACGCAACGCACAUUCGACGUGACAAUGGAACCGACAGAGACAACACUAGCGGAGCCUGAAGUACCGGACACAGUGAUAGAAGAUGUUCCGAUAACUUUCACUAUGCUAGAGAACGGCAGUAAACGAGGCGGCCGAUUGCUGGUGUCAAGCAACGGAUAUUCAUACGGCCUGAAGAGUUCCACACUCUGGCGGUGUAGCGUGAGAAGAAAGAAGCUGCGUUGUCACGCGACAGUCCUACAGAAAGGCAGUGACUAAGACUUCCGACCAGGUUCCAAUGCGCACGUGCACCCAUCUGACCCGAAGCUUCCUCUUCAAGCGAAGUAUUCCACCAAUGGCAAGCAGCCUAUCAAGGAACAGCCUCAAGCCCGGCAAUGGAUAUUGUUGCUGAUGUCAUGUCGGGCAUUCCUAACGAUGAGCGGUUUCUGGUCCCAAUGCAUACUAUAGUUUUACAUAAAUAAAUGGUGAAGGUUGGAGACCACAUGAGACUCAGACAGUUGGCGGAAAACCCUCAUCAACUGGAGGAAAGUUGGCAAAUAGAUGGCCGUAUAACAGUGACCCUUGGUUCAUGUCGCAUUCGUUCAUAUAUAUCGCAUAACCUUAUUAAUUGUAUUGUUUAAAUCAUUUCUGCUUAGAAUGCUCUUUGAGAAAAGUUAUGGUUAUGAGGGCGCAAAAGUUUGACUUAUUUGUGUUUAAGUUAUUGCUGUUGCAUUACAUUUGUUAGAGUCGUUUAGUUUAUUCUGACCUGAAGGCUCUUAAAGCUAACGCUCAAAUAGAUUUUGGUGCGGAUUUUAGCGAUUUUAAGCAUUGAAUUAAAUGAUUUAUUGUCAGAUCGUCUGAUGUUGAUAUUAAUUAAGCCGUGAAAUGAAUUAAGGGAUUUAUUGUCGGAUCGUCUGAUGUUGAUAUUAAUUAACCCGUGAUAUUAUUGUAUUUCCAUCCAAUACAAAAGCAAAUAUAUGCUUUCUCUUGUCAUAAAGUAUAUUACAAUUAAGUGUAAUCAAAACAUCUCAAAGAAUUGUAAAGAUGAAACUUAUUUUCUCUUUAACCCUUUGCAUGCUGGGUAAUUUGUCUUCUGCUAAAAUGUCGUCUGCUGAAUUUGUAAAAUUAGCAUUUUCUUCGAUUUUUUUCAAAGAAUACUAUCAGAAUAGCAAACAGUUUGGAUCCAGAUGAGACGCCACGUUCUGUGGCGUCUCAUCUGGAUCCAAACUGUUUGCAAAGGCCUUCAAAAUUCGGUUCCAGCACUGUAAGGGUUAAACAACAAGUGAAUUUGGCAAGUUCCUUACCCACCUCUUCUGCACUGCAAAGUUAUGUCAUAAUAAUCGAUAUCAAUAAUCUAUGGUAUUGAGAACUUUACCUUUAGCAAACAUUCAAACUAAAACCUGUCAUAACGUGGUGAAUAAUUCUGUAAGCUUUUUCAAUUGUAUAUGUCAGUGUUAUUUUACGAGGCAAUGUCAGUCAAAUUGUUACACCAGGCCAUGUCAGUAAUGUUAUAGUAAGCCAUGUUUAUGAUGUUAUUAUGUUAUGUCUAUGAUGUUAUCAUAUUAAAGUUGUAAACUAAUUUUAUAAUACCAAUGUCAGUGAUGGAAGACAAGGUCAAGUAAGGAAUGUUAAACCAAGUCAUUUCAAUUAUCUUUCACUAGGUCAUGACCAUUGUU